UACAGAGGUCUCAAGCGUUGUUCGGAUUCAUUGGGCGUAAAGGGUGCGUAGGUGGCGGGGUAAGUCAGGUGUGAAAUUUCGGAGCUUAACUCCGAAACUGCAUUUGAUACUGCCUUGCUUGAGGACUGGAGAGGAGACUGGAAUUCACGGUGUAGCAGUGAAAUGCGUAGAUAUCAGGAGGAAUACCGAUGGCGAAGGCAGGUCUCUGGGCUGACACUGACGCUCAUGCACGAAAGCGUGGGGAGCAAACAGG
rnacentral:rRNA from 1 species